rnacentral:hammerhead_ribozyme from 1 species
GCACUGCUGAUGAGUCCCAUACAGAACGAAACAGCUGUCCAGUGC